UACGUAGGUGGCAAGCGUUGUCCGGAUUUACUGGGUGUAAAGGGCAUGUAGCCGGGUUGACAAGUCAGAUGUGAAAUCCUGCGGCUUAACCGCAGAACUGCAUUUGAAACUGUUGAUCUUGAGUACUGGAGAGGCAGACGGAAUUCCUAGUGUAGCGGUGAAAUGCGUAGAUAUAUGGAAGAACACCAGUGGCGAAAGCGGCUCUCUGGUCUGUAACUGACGCUGAGGUUCGAAAGCGUGGGUAGCAAACAGG
rnacentral:rRNA from 1 species